UGGGGAAUAUUGGGCAAUGGGCGCAAGCCUGACCCAGCGACGCCGCGUGAGGGAAGAAGGCCUUUGGGUCGUAAACCUCUGUUGUAUGGGAAGAAGGAAGUGACGGUACCAUACGAGGAAGUCCCGGCUAACUACGUGCCAGCAGCCGCGGUAAUACGUAGGGGACGAGCGUUGUCCGGAAUUACUGGGCGUAAAGGGCGCGCAGGCGGAUAUUUAAGUCAGCUGUAAAAGGCAUGAGCUCAACUCAUGUAUGCGGUUGAAACUGGGUAUCUAGAGUGCUGGAGAGGUAGGCGGAAUUCCCGGUGUAGCGGUGAAAUGCGUAGAUAUCGGGAAGAACACCAGUGGCGAAGGCGGCUUACUGGCCAGCAACUGACGCUGAGGCGCGAAAGCCAGGGGAGCGAACG
rnacentral:rRNA from 1 species